rnacentral:lncRNA from 1 species
UUCCCAUAUAUUUGGGUUCAGUCUCCUCUGUAUGUCUCGAUGGGGUUUGGCAUCUGCCUCGUAAUGAAUAUGGUACAUACAGAUAGAGGGGUCAUUUCCUUUUAGAUUAGCCAUGGACCAACCGAUAGCCUCUUUAUUUUUCUUCAAAAUACCAAUCAAUUAUGCUUCUUGAUCCAGAGUCAAAUCUGAUGCAAUGAUCACCGAGAGGGUGUCGUUAGGUCCUAGGAAUGCAUACUUGAGUG